AACGAACGCUGGCGGCAGGCCUAACACAUGCAAGUCGAACGCUCGUAGCAAUACGGGAGUGGCAGACGGGUGAGUAACACGUGGGAACCUUCCCUAUGGUUCGGAAUAGCUCAGGGAAACUUGGGGUAAUACCGGAUAAGCCCUUCGGGGAAGGAUUUAUCGCCAUUGGAUGGGCCCGCGUCGGAUUAGCUAGUUGGUGAGGUAACGGCUCACCAAGGCAACGAUCCGUAGCUGGUCUGAGAGGAUGAUCAGCCACACUGGGACUGAGACACGGCCCAGACUCCUACGGGAGGCAGCAGUGGGGAAUAUUGGACAAUGGGCGCAAGCCUGAUCCAGCCAUGCCGCGUGAGUGACGAAGGUCUUCGGAUUGUAAAACUCUUUUGGUCGGGGACGAUAAUGACGGUACCCGCAGAAUAAGCCCCGGCU
rnacentral:rRNA from 1 species